rnacentral:lncRNA from 13 species
AUCUCCUCAUCAGAGGCUAUUCUAGCAGGCCUAACUGGCCUUCUUCGGAAACCCUGCGGGGGUGACGCCCUUGGGCAGCCCCAGGGCGUUGACGGCGGCCGGCGGCGGCUGCGAGUUGCUGGAUCUUCAGCGGGUCGGUCGCGUCCCGCCGCUGCCCGAGUCCGCGUCCGGAGAGAGCGGGAGCCGCUGAGGACUCCGCCUAUCCGUCUUUAUAAAUUUGCCCACGCACACGAAGCUUGCCGGAUCCACACCUGUGUCACAGCGGAGGACCCCAGGGCUCUUCCUCGCCUUGACAAUGUGUGGAAUCCUGGCUGGGAUGCCCCAGGUGAGCUGCCCAUACAGGUCAUCAGGGAGGCCUCCCCAAGCAGGAGCUGGCUGAGCAUCACGGGCAUAUCCCACCAGGCUGUGGGCAGUUCUGAGGGAGGAGAUGACCUGCUUCUGGCCCGGCUGUCAUUUUGGUGCUUGUCAUGGCAUCUGUUGUUCCUCUCAUGUCACAAUUUUAUAGAUGGCUUAUUUCCUGGCGGAAUGCAGGGGAAAAGAUUAGUAGGAACAUCGCCUCCUCUAUUUGCUGAGUCUAUUUACCCCUUCUGUGCUCCUAGGUGGUGACACCUCCAGGAAAGCAGGGCUUCAGCUGUCGCAGAGAUCACAAAAACCUGGCCUUCCUCACUGCUAACUCUGUUAAUGAUGGGCUAACUCUGCAGCUGGUAGGAGCAAGGAAUACAGUUGAAGUGUAUCUUCAAAUUCUAAUAUCUUUUAAAUGGCUUUUAAAAAUGUUGUUGGCCAGGCGCAGUGGUCCACGGCUUUAAUCCCAGGACUUUGGGAGGCUGAGGCAGGCAGAUCAUGGGAUCAGGAGUUCAAGACCAGCCUGACCAACAUGGUGAAACCUGUCUGUAUUAAAAAUACAAAAAAAUUUAGCCAGGCAUGUGAUCCUGGCUACUCACGAGGCCGAGGCAGGAGAAUCGCUUGAACCCAGGAGAUGGAGGUUGCAGUGAGCCAAGAUUGCACCACUGCACUUCAGCCUGGGCAGCAGAGUGAGACUUCAUCUCAAAAAAAAUAAAUAAAUAAAAGGAAAACA